UUAAGUUAUUAAGGGCGCACGGUGGAUGCCUUGGCACUAGAAGCCGAUGAAGGACGUUACUAACGACGAUAUGCUUUGGGGAGCUGUAAGUAAGCUUUGAUCCAGAGAUUUCCGAAUGGGGAAACCCAGCAUGAGUUAUGUCAUGUUAUCGAUAUGUGAAUACAUAGCAUAUCAGAAGGCACACCCGGAGAACUGAAACAUCUUAGUACCCGGAGGAAGAGAAAGAAAAUUCGAUUCCCUUAGUAGCGGCGAGCGAAACGGGAAGAGCCCAAACCAACAAGCUUGCUUGUUGGGGUUGUAGGACACUCUAUACGGAGUUACAAAGGACGACAUUAGACGAAUCAUCUGGAAAGAUGAAUCAAAGAAGGUAAUAAUCCUGUAGUCGAAAAUGUUGUCUCUCUUGAGUGGAUCCUGAGUACGACGGAGCACGUGAAAUUCCGUCGGAAUCUGGGAGGACCAUCUCCUAAGGCUAAAUACUCUCUAGUGACCGAUAGUGAACCAGUACCGUGAGGGAAAGGUGAAAAGCACCCCGGAAGGGGAGUGAAAUAGAACCUGAAACCGUGUGCUUACAAGUAGUCAGAGCCCGUUAAUGGGUGAUGGCGUGCCUUUUGUAGAAUGAACCGGCGAGUUACGAUUUGAUGCAAGGUUAAGCAGUAAAUGUGGAGCCGUAGCGAAAGCGAGUCUGAAUAGGGCGUUUAGUAUUUGGUCGUAGACCCGAAACCAGGUGAUCUACCCUUGGUCAGGUUGAAGUUCAGGUAACACUGAAUGGAGGACCGAACCGACUUACGUUGAAAAGUGAGCGGAUGAACUGAGGGUAGCGGAGAAAUUCCAAUCGAACCUGGAGAUAGCUGGUUCUCUCCGAAAUAGCUUUAGGGCUAGCCUCAAGUGAUGAUUAUUGGAGGUAGAGCACUGUUUGGACGAGGGGCCCCUCUCGGGUUACCGAAUUCAGACAAACUCCGAAUGCCAAUUAAUUUAACUUGGGAGUCAGAACAUGGGUGAUAAGGUCCGUGUUCGAAAGGGAAACAGCCCAGACCACCAGCUAAGGUCCCAAAAUAUAUGUUAAGUGGAAAAGGAUGUGGCGUUGCCCAGACAACUAGGAUGUUGGCUUAGAAGCAGCCAUCAUUUAAAGAGUGCGUAAUAGCUCACUAGUCGAGUGACACUGCGCCGAAAAUGUACCGGGGCUAAACAUAUUACCGAAGCUGUGGAUUGUCCUUUGGACAAUGGUAGGAGAGCGUUCUAAGGGCGUUGAAGCAUGAUCGUAAGGACAUGUGGAGCGCUUAGAAGUGAGAAUGCCGGUGUGAGUAGCGAAAGACGGGUGAGAAUCCCGUCCACCGAUUGACUAAGGUUUCCAGAGGAAGGCUCGUCCGCUCUGGGUUAGUCGGGUCCUAAGCUGAGGCCGACAGGCGUAGGCGAUGGAUAACAGGUUGAUAUUCCUGUACCACCUAUAAUCGUUUUAAUCGAUGGGGGGACGCAGUAGGAUAGGCGAAGCGUGCGAUUGGAUUGCACGUCUAAGCAGUAAGGCUGAGUAUUAGGCAAAUCCGGUACUCGUUAAGGCUGAGCUGUGAUGGGGAGAAGACAUUGUGUCUUCGAGUCGUUGAUUUCACACUGCCGAGAAAAGCCUCUAGAUAGAAAAUAGGUGCCCGUACCGCAAACCGACACAGGUAGUCAAGAUGAGAAUUCUAAGGUGAGCGAGCGAACUCUCGUUAAGGAACUCGGCAAAAUGACCCCGUAACUUCGGGAGAAGGGGUGCUCUUUAGGGUUAACGCCCAGAAGAGCCGCAGUGAAUAGGCCCAAGCGACUGUUUAUCAAAAACACAGGUCUCUGCUAAACCGUAAGGUGAUGUAUAGGGGCUGACGCCUGCCCGGUGCUGGAAGGUUAAGAGGAGUGGUUAGCUUCUGCGAAGCUACGAAUCGAAGCCCCAGUAAACGGCGGCCGUAACUAUAACGGUCCUAAGGUAGCGAAAUUCCUUGUCGGGUAAGUUCCGACCCGCACGAAAGGCGUAACGAUUUGGGCACUGUCUCAACGAGAGACUCGGUGAAAUCAUAGUACCUGUGAAGAUGCAGGUUACCCGCGACAGGACGGAAAGACCCCGUGGAGCUUUACUGUAGCCUGAUAUUGAAAUUCGGCACAGCUUGUACAGGAUAGGUAGGAGCCUUUGAAACGUGAGCGCUAGCUUACGUGGAGGCGCUGGUGGGAUACUACCCUAGCUGUGUUGGCUUUCUAACCCGCACCACUUAUCGUGGUGGGAGACAGUGUCAGGCGGGCAGUUUGACUGGGGCGGUCGCCUCCUAAAAGGUAACGGAGGCGCUCAAAGGUUCCCUCAGAAUGGUUGGAAAUCAUUCAUAGAGUGUAAAGGCAUAAGGGAGCUUGACUGCGAGACCUACAAGUCGAGCAGGGUCGAAAGACGGACUUAGUGAUCCGGUGGUUCCGCAUGGAAGGGCCAUCGCUCAACGGAUAAAAGCUACCCCGGGGAUAACAGGCUUAUCUCCCCCAAGAGUUCACAUCGACGGGGAGGUUUGGCACCUCGAUGUCGGCUCAUCGCAUCCUGGGGCUGUAGUCGGUCCCAAGGGUUGGGCUGUUCGCCCAUUAAAGCGGUACGCGAGCUGGGUUCAGAACGUCGUGAGACAGUUCGGUCCCUAUCCGUCGUGGGCGUAGGAAAUUUGAGAGGAGCUGUCCUUAGUACGAGAGGACCGGGAUGGACAUACCUCUGGUGUACCAGUUGUCGUGCCAACGGCAUAGCUGGG
rnacentral:rRNA from 1 species